CAGGCCUAACACAUGCAAGUCGAACGGUAGCACAGAGAGCUUGCUCUCGGGUGACGAGUGGCGGACGGGUGAGUAAUGUCUGGGAAACUGCCCGAUGGAGGGGGAUAACUACUGGAAACGGUAGCUAAUACCGCAUAACGUCUUCGGACCAAAGUGGGGGACCUUCGGGCCUCACACCAUCGGAUGUGCCCAGAUGGGAUUAGCUAGUAGGUGGGGUAAUGGCUCACCAAGGCGACGAUCCGUAACUGGUCUGAGAGGAUGAUCAGUCACACUGGAACUGAGACACGGUCCAGACUCCUACGGGAGGCAGCAGUGGGGAAUAUUGGACAAUGGGCGAAAGCCUGAUCCAGCCAUGCCGCGUGUGUGAAGAAGGUCUUCGGAUUGUAAAGCACUUUAAGUUGGGAGGAAGAGCAGUCAGCGAAUACCUGGUUGUUUUGACGUUACCGACAGAAUAAGCACCGGCUAACUCUGUGCCAGCAGCCGCGGUAAU
rnacentral:rRNA from 1 species